CCUACGGGCGGCAGCAGUGGGGAAUAUUGGACAAUGGGCGAAAGCCUGAUCCAGCCAUGCCGCGUGUGUGAAGAAGGCCUUCGGGUUGUAAAGCACUUUCAGUGGGGAAGAAAGCCUUGGGGCUAAUACCCUCGAGGAAGGACAUCACCCACAGAAGAAGCACCGGCUAACUCCGUGCCAGCAGCCGCGGUAAUACGGAGGGUGCGAGCGUUAAUCGGAAUUACUGGGCGUAAAGCGCGCGUAGGCGGUCUGAUAAGCCGGUUGUGAAAGCCCCGGGCUCAACCUGGGAACGGCAUCCGGAACUGUCAGGCUAGAGUGCAGGAGAGGAAGGUAGAAGUCCCGGUGUAGCGGUGAAAUGCGUAGAGAUCGGGAGGAAUACCAGUGGCGAAGGCGGCCUUCUGGACUGACACUGACGCUGAGGUGCGAAAGCGUGGGUAGCAAACAGGAUUAGAUACCCGUGUAGUC
rnacentral:rRNA from 1 species